UACAGAGGUCUCAAGCGUUGUUCGGAUUCAUUGGGCGUAAAGGGUGCGUAGGUGGCGCUGUAAGUCAGGUGUGAAAUUUCGGAGCUUAACUCCGAAACUGCAUUUGAUACUGCGGUGCUUGAGGACUGGAGAGGAGACUGGAAUUUACGGUGUAGCAGUGAAAUGCGUAGAGAUCGUAAGGGAAGACCAGUGGCGAAGGCGGGUCUCUGGACAGUUCCUGACAGCUGAGG
rnacentral:rRNA from 1 species